UUUUUCUUUGUAGAUUUGCCUUUUUUUAUUAUUACACUUUUUUAUCAUAACAAAACUGACAAUAUCAAAUAUCACAAAACAAUUACAGAAUUAUAAAAAAUUUAAAACCUAUCAUAAGUAAAAACAUGGUAUCCAAAUAUGUGUUUGGGAAUUUGCCAAAAUGCAUAUCUAGGAUGGGCAGAAAACACACAAAGAUUUGCAAAAAAUAUUUAUUAACUGAAGCACUUUUAACUUUUACUCACAGUUUUCAUCAGCAGUUUUUAAUUGCACAGUACAGUAAAAAUAUCUUGGCUCUUACAAUAAAUCAGAUAUAUAUUCUAAUUAUUCAAAAUUAAAAAUAUGGAAUUUAGUGCAUAUGGA
rnacentral:lncRNA from 1 species